AGGACGAACGCUGGCGGCGUGCCUAACACAUGCAAGUCGAACGCGCUCCAUUCGGUAGCAAUACUGAUGAAGAGCGAGUGGCGAACGGGUGAGUAGCACGUGAGCAACCUGCCCCGAAGACUGGGACAACACCGGGAAACCGGUGCUAAUACCGGAUAUCCCUAUCGGACCGCAUGAUCUGAUAAGGAAAUGGAUUCCGCUUCGGGAGGGGCUCGCGGCCUAUCAGCUAGUUGGUGAGGUAACGGCCCACCAAGGCAUCGACGGGUAGCUGGUCUGAGAGGACGAUCAGCCACACUGGGACUGAGACACGGCCCAGACUCCUACGGGAGGCAGCAGUGGGGAAUCUUGCGCAAUGGGCGAAAGCCUGACGCAGCAACGCCGCGUGGAGGACGAAGGCUUUCUGAGUUGUAAACUCCUUUCAGCAGGGACGAUAGUGACGGUACCUGCAGAAGAAGCACCGGCCAACUACGCGCCAGCAGCCGA
rnacentral:rRNA from 1 species